UACAGAGGUCCCGAGCGUUGUUCGGAUUCAUUGGGCGUAAAGGGUGCGUAGGCGGCGGGGCAAGUCUGAUGUGAAAUCCCGGGGCUCAACCCCGGAAUGGCAUUCCAAACUGGGGAUCUAGAGUGCAGGAGAGGAAAGCGGAAUUCCUAGUGUAGCGGUGAAAUGCGUAGAUAUUAGGAAGAACACCAGUGGCGAAGGCGCUUCUGGACUGUAACUGACGCUGAGGCACGAAAGCGUGGGGAGCAAACAGGG
rnacentral:rRNA from 1 species